rnacentral:tRNA from 1 species
AAGAAAGUGGCAGAGCGGCUAUGUAAUUGGCUUGAAACCAAUUUAUGGGGGUUCGACUCCUCCUUUUCUCG